CCUACGGGCGGCAGCAGUGGGGAAUAUUGGACAAUGGGCGCAAGCCUGAUCCAGCCAUGCCGCGUGAGUGAUGAAGGCCCUAGGGUUGUAAAGCUCUUUUGUGCGGGAAGAUAAUGACGGUACCGCAAGAAUAAGCCCCGGCUAACUUCGUGCCAGCAGCCGCGGUAAUACGAAGGGGGCUAGCGUUGCUCGGAAUCACUGGGCGUAAAGGGUGCGUAGGCGGGUCUUUAAGUCAGGGGUGAAAUCCUGGAGCUCAACUCCAGAACUGCCUUUGAUACUGAGGAUCUUGAGUUCGGGAGAGGUGAGUGGAACUGCGAGUGUAGAGGUGAAAUUCGUAGAUAUUCGCAAGAACACCAGUGGCGAAGGCGGCUCACUGGCCCGAUACUGACGCUGAGGCACGAAAGCGUGGGGAGCAAACAAGAUUAGAUACCCCAGUAGUC
rnacentral:rRNA from 1 species